rnacentral:rRNA from 1 species
CUGAACUAGCAACUAGAAAGAAUGUUUGUUUUCCUAUUUUAUUUGGAACUAAGCAAGUACUUAUAAAGUUCUAAAUAGAAUAAUGAUAAUGACAAAUUCUAUUUAUAAGUCUCGACCAAAUCAUGUGCCAGCAGUCGCGGUAAGACAUGGGAGACUAGUGUUAUUCAUCUUAAUUCGGUUUAAAGGGUACCUAGACGGCUCAAAAUUCUUAAAAAACUAGAUAAUUUUGAUGCUAGAGUUUUACAUGCGAAGAUAGUAUGUUUGAUGUAAAGAUGAAAUUUUUAGAUAUUUUAAAGACUGGUAAUCGUGAAGACAAUCUUCUACUUAUAAACUGACGUUGAGGGACGAAAGCUAUGAAAGCGAACAGGAUUCGAUACCCUGGUAGUCUUAGCAGUAAAUUAUGAAUGUAAUAUAGUAGACAAUAAUUUGUUAUAUUAAUGAAAAUGUAAACAUUCCACCUUAAGAGUAAUGUGGCAACGCAGGAACUGAAAUCAUUAGACCGUAUCUGAAACCAGUAGUGAAGUAUGUUAUUUAAUUUGAUAACCCUCAAAAAACCUCACCACAAUUUGAAUAGUUAAAAAUUAAUUUUUAAUUACAAGCGCUGCACGGCUGUCGUCAGUUAAUUUUGUGAAGAAUAGGAGACGUUCUCUAAUUAACGUAAACCCAUAUUUUAUUUUUAUAUAAUUUAAUGUAUUGUAAGUCGAAUUAUUAUACGAAGUAGUAAGGGAUUAAGACAAGUCAACAUGGUCUGAAUAUUGUGGGCGAUAGACGUGCCACAUCUUUCUAUACAAGAUAGAUGC